CAGCAGCCGCGGUAACACGGAGGGUGCAAGCGUUAAUCGGAAUUACUGGGCGUAAAGCGCACGCAGGCGGUCUGUCAAGUCAGAUGUGAAAUCCCCGGGCUUAACCUGGGAACUGCAUUUGAAACUGACAGGCUAGAGUCUUGUAGAGGGGGGUAGAAUUCCAGGUGUAGCGGUGAAAUGCGUAGAGAUCUGGAGGAAUACCGGUGGCGAAGGCGGCCCCCUGGACAAAGACUGACGCUCAGGUGCGAAAGCGUGGGGAGCAAACAGGAUUAGAUACCCGGGUAGUCCCUGUCUCUUAUAC
rnacentral:rRNA from 1 species